GCUUACUAUGGAAGCUGGACAUAUUUAAAAUGUUUACCACAAUGGCUUGGUCUCUCUUUCGAUCACUUGGCUUAUUAUGGUAGUUUGGAUAGAUUAUUGUGGCAACUUGGGUGUUAUCCGCUAGUUUCGGUGCAUACAAGGCAAUAUGAAAUCUUCAGUGAAGCCAUAUAAAUCCUUUUGAUGAAUCAGUAAAUCGGAUGGGGGCACACAAAUCCUUCUUCCUAUUGAUAUACAUGAGAUCGUAUAAAAUCGUUGAGGUCAUUUGACCAAGCAUCCUUAUAUCAUUAUUGAUAAUUUUAAUGAGGCCACAUAUAUCACUUAUCAGAUGUCUAAAAGCUUCCUUAUUAAUAGUUUGAACGAGGCUGAAUAUAACAUUGACGCACCCUAGGCCACGUUUCGAUGGAAAGGGAGGAAGAAGACGCAUGAAACAAAGAAAAAACAGCAAAACAAAG
rnacentral:lncRNA from 1 species